rnacentral:rRNA from 1 species
CCUACGGGUGGCAGCAGUGGGGGAUAUUGCACAAUGGGGGAAACCCUGAUGCAGCGACGCCGCGUGGGUGAAGAAGCGCCUCGGCGCGUAAAGCCCUGUCAGCAGGGAAGUAAAUGACGGUACCUGUAGAUGAAGCCCCGGCUAACUACGUGCCAGCAGCCGCGGUAACACGUAGGAGGCAAGCGUUAUCCGGAUUUACUGGGUGUAAAGGGGGCGUAGUCGGGGGUGCAAGCCAGUGGUGAAAGCCCGGGGUCCAACCUCGGGACUGCUCUGGGAACUGCGUGGCUAGAGUGCAGGAGGGGCAGGCGGAAUUCGUGGUGUAGCGGUGAAAUGCGUAGAUAUCAGGAAGAACACCGGUGGCGAAGGCGGCCUACUAGACUGCAACUGACGUUGAGGCCCGAAAGCGUGGGGAGCAAACAGGAUUAGAUACCCUUGUAGUC